GUGCAUGCUGAGAGCCCAUCACUGCAAACUGGUGUAAGCACUCUGAGCGUAAACAUGAGAUAAUCAAGACCAUGAAGUGGUGGCCCAGCAGAGCAUUGACGCUUCCAGAUUUAUGGGCCCGUAGCGCACGAUGAAGGUCCUGCGAUGAAAACAUUGUCUGGAGGCCUCGGGCGGGGAGCCAGGGUGUUAGUUGACUAAAGACAACUCAGGUUGAACCACAAGCAAAUGAACGGCAUUUCUCACAAUCAGUUUUGGACUGGAGCAACAGCCACCGAGUCUGAAUGACCUCACUGGGAUAAUGAUAGGGGAUGAAUUUACAGUCGAGGAGCUUCUCCUCUACUUCAUCUCUCAACGGGACGCCAUAGAUGAUGGAGUGAUGGGUGGGAGGUGGAGGUCGGGGGGGUGUGUGUGCAUGGGAUGAGGGAGAGGUUUUAGGGCCUGGCGCUGUUUUGCCCUCAAUUGCAUGGUGGCACGCGGCAAUAGAAGGGCCAAUUAAAGGGAGGCGCAGAGUGAAGCCCUACUAGAUGAGCUCAGCCUGUGGCUCCUGUCUGGCACACACACUUAGACACACAUAAGCACUCAAACAGGGGCCUUGCUCGCUGCUUUUCUUUUCAGAUCUUAUUUGUCUUAUGUUUGCAAGAAUUUGAUGACGACAGCAAAGUGAGAGAAAAGUUUUUGUCUAUACCUGCUAGUGAUUUAAAAUGUGCACACACAGUAUGCAUGUGUCUCACUCCCAUCUUUGGAUGGGAGUGAAGCUUUAUUUUAACACCCUCUUAUUUAGUGUCUGAUGCCAGAAGCUAUGGGUUUAUGUAAACUUCUGCCACACUUGAGAGGGCUUAGACCACCCCAAACACUGAGCCUCGUCAGUGCUUAUCUUGCCACUACUGCAUCUCCCAUCGACUGUAUAUGUGUGCAGAUGUGUGUAUGUGUGUGUCCGAGGGAAGCAGGGAGGCGAGAUCUCAGAGAAUUGUGCUCUGGUCUUGAGAUUUUGUAGGAAUCUCACUCCGUCAGCAAAUCAUUAAUGAAUAGUUAACCGAUCACUGUAAGAAACAUCACUUUUUCUUUUGCUUCUUCUAUGCUCGAAAGGCUCGAGCUCACGUGUCCCUAAGCUGCAUGUUACCCGUCUGCAGUUUAUGAUGAUGAUUAAUGUAUUUAACAGAAUCUACUUGAAUCAGAUCAUCUUUAAAACUUGUUGAAUAUCUUUCGAGAUGAUCCUCACAAUGACUUGUAGUUCUGUAUCUCACACACAAGAUGCCACUCUUGAGCUAUGGAGGCUGCAACACCUUGAAGGUGAAUAAGAUAUCUUUGAUCAAAUGUACUUUUUGUUCUGUCAGUAAUAUCAGUGCUUUUUGUUCUUUGCUCUGCUCUUAGAUGCCACUUUCUGUCUAACUGUCUAUCACUUUUUUUCUGUCUCUGUUGCUUUCCUCGCACUCUUCUGUGUUUGGUGCAUGAGCAGGCAGUGUAACUUGUGUAAAUGAUCUGACAUUUUCACUUGCUUAUUUAUUUAUGUGUAAUUUUGUCCUUCCUUUGGAUGAACUCACAUUUGAUGUUCAAAUAUCAGGGAGAGAAUUUAGCAACUUGAAAAUAGUUUCCAAUUAUGGGUCAAGAUAUAAAGAAGUGCAAUAUUUUUUCUCUUUCCUCUCCUUUCCUUGCCUCCUGUUCAUUUUUACUGCCUGGGCUGUUGCCUGUAACAGGCGCAAACACCUCACUCGUAGGGAGUUCACUACAGUAGCAUAUUUAGACAGCUGUAAGCCCAAAAGCUCCUGGGA